GCAACCUGAUCCAGCAUGCCGCGUGUGUGAAGAAGGCCUUCGGGUUGUAAAGCACUUUUGUCCGGAAAGAAAUCCUUGGUCCUAAUAUGGCCGGGGGAUGACGGUACCGGAAGAAUAAGCACCGGCUAACUACGUGCCAGCAGCCGCGGUAAUACGUAGGGUGCAAGCGUUAAUCGGAAUUACUGGGCGUAAAGCGUGCGCAGGCGGUUUGCUAAGACCGAUGUGAAAUCCCCGGGCUCAACCUGGGAACUGCAUUGGUGACUGGCAGGCUAGAGUAUGGCAGAGGGGGGUAGAAUUCCACGUGUAGCAGUGAAAUGCGUAGAGAUGUGGAGGAAUACCGAUGGCGAAGGCAGCCCCCUGGGCCAAUACUGACGCUCAUGCACGAAAGCGUGGGGAGCAAACAGGAUUAGAUACCCUGGUAGUCCACGCCCUAAACGAUGUCAACUAGUUGUUGGGGAUUCAUUUCCUUAGUAACGUAGCUAACGCGUGAAGUUGACCGCCUGGGGAGUACGGUCGCAAGAUUAAAACUCAAAGGAAUUGACGG
rnacentral:rRNA from 1 species